rnacentral:rRNA from 1 species
UUGACCUCGGAUCAGGUAGGGAUACCCGCUGAACUUAAGCAUAUCAAUAAGCGGAGGAAAAGAAACCAACAGGGAUUGCCUCAGUAACGGCGAGUGAAGCGGCAAGAGCUCAAAUUUGAAAUCUGGCCCCUCCGGGGUUCGAGUUGUAAUUUGCAGAGGAUGCUUCGGGAGCGGCCCCCGUCUAAGUGCCCUGGAACGGGCCGUCAUAGAGGGUGAGAAUCCCGUCUGGGACGGGGUGUCCGUGUCCGUGUGAAGCUCCUUCGACGAGUCGAGUUGUUUGGGAAUGCAGCUCUAAAUGGGUGGUAAAUUUCAUCUAAAGCUAAAUACUGGCCGGAGACCGAUAGCGCACAAGUAGAGUGAUCGAAAGAUGAAAAGCACUUUGAAAAGAGAGUUAAACAGCACGUGAAAUUGUUGAAAGGGAAGCGCUUGCGACCAGACUCGCCCGCGGGGUUCAGCCGGCCUUUGGGCCGGUGUACUUCCCCGCGGACGGGCCAGCGUCGGUUUGGGCGGCCGGUCAAAGGCCCCGGGAAUGUAUCGCCCUCCGGGGCGUCUUAUAGCCCGGGGUGCAAUGCGGCCUGCCCGGACCGAGGAACGCGCUUCGGCACGGACGCUGGCAUAAUGGUCGUAAGCGACC